rnacentral:rRNA from 1 species
UACAGAGGUCUCAAGCGUUGUUCGGAUUCAUUGGGCGUAAAGGGUGCGUAGGCGGCGCGGUAAGUCGGGUGUGAAAUCUCGGGGCUUAACUCCGAAACUGCAUUCGAUACUGCCGUGCUUGAGGACUGGAGAGGAGACUGGAAUUUACGGUGUAGCGGUGAAAUGCGUAGAUAUCGUAAGGAAGACCAGUGGCGAAGGCGGGUCUCUGGACAGUUCUGACGCUGAGGCACGAAGGCCAGGGGAGCAAACGGG